rnacentral:rRNA from 1 species
UACUCCUACGGGAGGCAGCAGUAGGGAAUCUUCCACAAUGGGCGAAAGCCUGAUGGAGCAACGCCGCGUGUGUGAUGAAGGCUUUCGGGUCGUAAAGCACUGUUGUAUGGGAAGAAAAGUUAAGGUAGGGAAUGACCUUAGCCUGACGGUACCAUACCAGAAAGGGACGGCUAAAUACGUGCCAGCAGCCGCGGUAAU